rnacentral:rRNA from 1 species
GACGAACGCUGGCGGCGUGCCUAAUACAUGCAAGUAGAACGCACAGUUUAUACCGUAGCUUGCUACACCAUAGACUGUGAGUUGCGAACGGGUGAGUAACGCGUAGGUAACCUGCCUGGUAGCGGGGGAUAACUAUUGGAAACGAUAGCUAAUACCGCAUAAUAUUAAUUAUUGCAUGAUAAUUGAUUGAAAGAUGCAACUGCAUCACUACCAGAUGGACCUGCGUUGUAUUAGCUAGUAGGUGAGGUAACGGCUCACCUAGGCGACGAUACAUAGCCGACCUGAGAGGGUGAUCGGCCACACUGGGACUGAGACACGGCCCAGACUCCUACGGGAGGCAGCAGUAGGGAAUCUUCGGCAAUGGACGAAAGUCUGACCGAGCAACGCCGCGUGAGUGAAGAAAGGUUUUCGGAUCGUAAAAGCUCUG